UGCGCCGCGAGCUGGCCGAGCUGGAGCGCUGUGGUGGCUCGGCGCGCCCGUUCGGGGUCGGGCUGGUGCAU
rnacentral:tRNA from 1 species